rnacentral:rRNA from 1 species
AUUGAACGCUGGCGGCAGGCCUAACACAUGCAAGUCGAGCGCGAAAGUCUUCGGAUGAGAAAAGCGGCGGACGGGUGAGUAAUGCAUGGGAAUCUGCCUGGUAGUGGGGGACAACGUUUCGAAAGAGACGCUAAUACCGCAUACGCCCUACGGGGGAAAGGGGGGGAUCUUCGGACCUCUCGCUAUCAGAUGAGCCCAUGUCAGAUUAGCUAGUUGGUAGGGGAAAGGCCUACCAAGGCGACGAUCUGUAACUGGUCUGAGAGGAUGAUCAGUCACACUGGAACUGAGACACGGUCCAGACUCCUACGGGAGGCAGCAGUGGGGAAUAUUGGACAAUGGGGGAAACCCUGAUCCAGCCAUGCCGCGUGUGUGAAGAAGGCCCUAGGGUUGUAAAGCACUUUCAGUGGGGAGAAAGGUUAUUCACCUAAUACGUGAGUAAAUUGAUGCUACCCACAGAAGAAGCACCGGCUAACUCCGUGCCAGCCGCCGCCGUAA